GAUGAACGCUGGCGGCGUGCCUAAUACAUGCAAGUCGAGCGAAAGGACGAGAAGCUUGCUUCUCUGAUGUUAGCGGCGCACGGGAGAGUAACACGAGGAUAACCUACCUAUAAGACUGGGAUAAUCUCGGGAAAGCGGAGCUAAUACCGGAGAAUAUUCUGAUCCUUAUGGGUAAAAGGAGAAAUCCGGUCUUGCGGUCACUAAUCGAAGGAUCCGCGCUGCUUUAGGUCGUUGGUAAGGCAACGGCGUACCAAGGCAACGAUGCAUAGCCGACAUGAGAGGGUGAUCGGCCAGACUGGAGCGAUGACGCGGUACAGGCUCCUUCAGGAGGCAGCAGUAGGGAAUCUUGCGCAAUGGGCGAAAACCAGACGAAGCAACGCCGAGUGUGGUGUGAAGGUCGUCGGAUCGUAAAAGUCUGUUAUGAGGGAGGAACAUGUGUGUAAGUAUCUGUGCGCUUCUGGACGGUACCUGAUCAAAGAGGCACGGGUUACUACGUG
rnacentral:rRNA from 1 species